rnacentral:rRNA from 1 species
UACAGAGGGUGCGAGCGUUGCUCGGAAUCACUGGGCGUAAAGGGCGCGUAGGCGGGAAUGUAAGUCGGGCGUGAAAUCCCUAGGCUCAACCUAGGAACUGCACUCGAAACUGCGUUUCUUGAGUAUCGGAGAGGAAAGCGGAAUUCCUGGUGUAGAGGUGAAAUUCGUAGAUAUCAGGAGGAACACCAGUGGCGAAGGCGGCUUUCUGGACGGUAACUGACGCUGAGGCGCGAAAGCGUGGGGAGCAAACAGG